rnacentral:rRNA from 1 species
GGCGUAAAGCGCGCGUAGGCGGCUGAACAAGUUGGAUGUGAAAGCCCUGGGCUCAACCUAGGAUGUGCAUUCAAAACUGUUCGGCUUGAGUCUCGGAGGGGGUCAGAGAAUUCUCGGUGUAGAGGUGAAAUUCGUAGAUAUCGGGAGGAACACCAGUGGCGAAGGCGCUGACCUGGACGAUGACUGACGCUGAGGCGCGAAAGCGUGGGGAGCAAACAGGAUUAGAUACCCUGGUAGUCCACGCCCUAAACGAUGUCGACUAGUCGUUCGGAGCAGCAAUGCACUGAGUGACGCAGCUAACGCGUGAAGUCGACCGCCUGGGGAGUACGGCCGCAAGGUUAAACUCAAAGGAAUUGGACGGGGACCCGCACAAGCGGUGGAUGAUGUGGAUUAAUUCGAUGC